GCCUUCGUGAUGUAGUGGUCAGCACGCUCGGCGCGUAUUCGAGAGGUCCAUGGUUCGAGUCCCGGCGAGGGCA
rnacentral:tRNA from 1 species